AUGUCGUCGUCGGUUGAGCUGAUGGACGAAAUCCAACGCAUCAAGGCUGGCAAUCCCGACAUCUCGCACAGGGAGGCCUUCAGCGCGGCUGCCAAGAACGUCAGUACUCUCUCGCCAUGGCUCCAUCCACACCUAGAUCUUUCUCUUUCUUUCUCUCUCUCUCUCUCUCUCUCUCUCUCUCUUUCUGUGUCUCUGGUCUGAUCUGUUGUUCUAGGGUUUGGCAGUGUUGCCAUGUUUCUCUCCUAGGGUUUCCCGAUCUUUCAAAAUCGAGUUCCUGGUGUUUGGCAUUGUCUGAAUCUUUGUUUGCCUGUUUGGUGUGGUGGUUUUGUUGUUGUUGUUUGUUUGCAGUGGGCACACUUUCCGCACAUCCACUUUGGACUGAUGCCGGAUCACCAGGGGCUCAAGAAGACCAGCCUGCUUCCUCAGGAUCAUCAGAGAAAGGAUGGGCUACUAAAGGAAGGGCUUUAUGCAGCGGCAGCUGCUGCGGCGGCGGCGGCCAACAUGGGUGUUGCACCGUACUAA
rnacentral:lncRNA from 1 species